rnacentral:lncRNA from 1 species
AGGACCCCAAGUCUGUGUGGCGCAGAGUAACUACAAUUCAAGAAGAACAUCUUGGUCUUACUGGCUUGGGGUAUCAGAGGACAACAUUCAGAGCUGCCAAAGUGUCUGGAAAGUGAGGGAAGGAACUUAUCCCAUAAAUACAGGUGCCACAGCAAAGGGAGCCCCCAAAAUCUGCAUUUAAAUUCUUGGUUAACCCUUGAACUGCACACGUAUUGUGGAGACUCCAAGGAACCUAGCAGAAAGCAAAAACUGAAAGGCUAUCAGAACUGAAAGGAGAUAUCCCCAACUUCCGCUCACUAUAGACUAGAAAGUUUGGAGUUUCAAUCCUACCAAAUUAGAGAGGCUUGGUAAACACCCAGGGCUUUCCACAGACCUACAUAAGUGUAAAACUAAGCCCCCACAAUUCAAGUUAAUUAUCUAGUAACUUAACUGACUGCUAGAAUAAAUAUCAACAUACUUCAGAGAAAAACAACAUAAUCUAGAGUCUCUACAAUGUCUCAUCCACAAUUUCUAGUACAUAAUAGAACAUCUGUUAGACAUGUGAAGACAAAAAGGAAUAUGUAACCCAUAGUGAAAAAAAAAUCAGGCAAUAGAAACAGACUAUGAGAUGUCAUAGUUGUUACAACUACGAGAUGACAUAGUUGUUAGAGUUAGCAGACAAGGACUUUAAGGUAGAUGUUUUAAAAUAUGUUCAAGGACUUACAGGAAAAGGUGAUCACAGUGAGUAAACAGAAAGACAAACUCAGGGAAAUGGAAAUUACAAAUAAGAACCAGGUGGACAUUCUAGUCCUGAAAAUUGUAACAUCUGAAAUAACGAAAAUUCACUAAUUGGUUGGACUUAACAGCAGAUUGGUGAUGAGAGAAGAAAAAGUAAAUGAAACAUAAAGAUGAGUCAACAGAAAUAAUCCAAUCUGAAAACAGACCAAAAAAAUGACUUUCAAAAAUUGAAACAGAGUUUCGGUGAUCUUUGGACAAUAUCUAGCAGCCCAAGACAUGUGUGAUUAGAGCCUCUGAAGGAAAUAAGAGAUAAUGAGGCAGGAAAAAAGACUGGGCAAAAAAUGGCUUAAAAAAUCUCCAAAUUUGGUUAAGAAAAAAAAUCAAUUUUCAGACCCCCCAAAAAUCAAAGUACAUAGCUGGGCAUGGCAGCUCACACCUGUAAUCCCAGCACUUUGGGAGGCUGAGGUGGGUGGAUCUCCUGACGUCAGGAGUUUGAGACCAGCCUGGCCAAUAUGGCAAAACCCUGUCUCAACUAAAAAUACAAAAUUAGCUGGCUUGGCGGUGGGAGCCUGUAAUCCCAGGUACUCAGAAGACUGAGGCAGGAAACUAGCUUGAACCCGGGAGGCGGAGGUUGUAGUGAGUGAAGGUUGCGCUGAGACACGAAGCCAGCUGGACUUCUUGGGUGGAGUGGGGACUCGGAGAACUUUUCUGUCUUACAAGAGGAUUCACUCUGUAGCUAGGAUUGUAAAACACACCAAUCAGCACUCUGUAGCUAGCAAGAGAAUUGUAAAAUGCACCAAUCAGUGCUCUGUAAAAUGCACCAAUCAGUGCUCUGUAAAAUGCACCAAUCAGCGCUCUGUAAACGCACCAAUCAGCAAGAGUCUAAAAGUAGCCAAUCGCGGGGAGGAUUGAAAAAAGGGCACUCUGAUAGGACAGAAACAGGACAUGGGCGGGGACAAACAAGGGAAUAAAAGCUGGCCACCACAGCCAGCAGCAGCAACUGGCCCAGGUGCCGUUCCCUGCUGUGAAGGUUUGUUCUUUCUGUCUUCACAAUAAAUCUUGCUGCUGCUCACUUUUUGGGUCUGUGCCACCUUUAAGAGCCUGUAACAUUCACCCUGAAGGUCGGUGGCUUCAUUCUUGAAGUCAGUGAGACCAGGAACCCACCGGCAGGAACCAACUCCGGACACAGCGCCACUGCACUCCAGCAUGGGCGACAGAGCAAGACUCAGUAAAUAAAUAAAACAAAAAAAGCAUGCACGCACAAAGCAACAAAAACGUUUCAAAGAACAUCUUGAAAUCAGCCGGGAAGGAGAAAAACACACCAAACGAUGAUAUAAUUGAUGAUGAUCUUCUGAUAACAAAAAACAGGCUUUAAAACAAGGGAAUGGGAUCCGUAAGAUUUAAGAGUGAGAGAGAGAAUAAAACUUCUGAAAACAUUUCUGUUUUAUACCAACGAAAAUACCAUUUUAAAAUGAGGGUCAAGUAAUGCCAUUUGCAGAUAAAUGAAAGAUGAAUUUGUUACCAGCAGAGCUACAUUAAGACAAAUGAUAAAGAAGUUCUUUUGGCCAAAGGAAACUGACAUCAUAUGAAUUUGAGACACAGAGAAGAAAAAAUAACAUAGGAAACGUUAAAUAUGUGGUUUGAUCUCAUCACAGUGACCAAAAUGCUCAAAAUCCAGCAAUGGCUCUCAUUUUCACUCGAGUAAAAGCCGAAGUCCUGACAAUUGCCUCUGAGGUUCCGCGUGAUCAUCUGCCCAGACACAGCCCCAUCCUUGCUUCUCUGACUUCAUAGCCCACUGCUCCCCUCUUCCUCACAUAGCUCCAGCCACACUGCUCUCCUAGCACGCUUCUGCCUCAGGGCCUUUGCUCCACCUCAUUUAUCUUUCUGGAAACUCUUGUCUCAUAUAUCUGCUUAGCUUCCUCCCUAAGUUUCUUCAAGUCACCUUUUCAGUGAGGUCCAAAGUGACUUCUCUAUUAAUAAUAAUAAUAAAAAAAAUCUGCUUCACACCUUGCUGAUCUAUUUUGCCCUGUUUUUUUUAAAAAGGCACUUUUGAUAUAUUAUACUAUAAAAUUGAUAUAUUUACAA